rnacentral:rRNA from 1 species
UACAGGGGGGGCAAGCGUUGUUCGGAAUUAUUGGGCGUAAAGGGCUCGUAGGUGGCCAACUAAGUCAGACGUGAAAUCCCUCAGCUUAACUGGGGAACUGCGUCUGAUACUGGAUGGCUUGAGUUUGGGAGAGGGAUGCGGAAUUCCAGGUGUAGCGGUGAAAUGCGUAGAUAUCUGGAGGAAUACCGGUGGCGAAGGCGGCAUCCUGGACCGGCAUUGACGCUGAUGAGCGAAAGCUAGGGGAGCAAACGGG